CCUCCCUACCCUCUUUUCUUCAAUUGUUCUUUUAUCCUCAAUUUUCUGUGCGGCCGUGCUCUCUCCUCGCCACUGCAACCACAAGUUCCAACAUCACCACCCACUCAAGUCAUCGGCCAGCCAUCUUCUUUCCGUAAGAAACCACCCACAAACCUUAUUUACUGCAAUGAUUUCCAAACCAAGAGACUUUCUUUGAUACUUUUUGGAUUGGCAACAAAAGGGUUGGCUCAUUGGAUAAUAUUUGACUCGUGUUGCUUAAGCUUGUAAAGUUUGUGUCUACAAGAGGUUAGGAAAUGUUCAGGAUCGACUGCCGGAGGCGUGACAGUGCGGUGUAGCCAGUGUUUAUUAGAUGUCUGUUUCCUUACCUUUAUUUAGGAUUGUUAGACAUUUUAAAUUGUUGAAUUUUAUUUAUGACUCAGUCACCUUCGACUUGAGCUGUUGUUUUGUUUCCGCUGUGAUAUUGACCACUAAGGUCUAGCAUUCUGAUUAAGUGGUUGUUUUAUUGCAUCUGCUUGAUAUGGACCGUUGGGGUCUUAAUUACUAUAGUAGUAUUGGAUUAUGUUUCU